AUGGCAUCCACUAGCAAGGCGUUUAGACAGUGUGUACAUCCGUGUCGGCGUUAUUUGACACCUGAUGACACACACAGUCUUUGCGUCUCUUGUUUGGGCGAAGAGCACACACGCAAUGUCCUUGAAGGGGCGUUCUGCGUGCAUUGCGAGCGUUUUUCUAUGAAAAAGUUCCGCUCUCGUCUGUCUCUCUUUUCGAGGAAAGAGGGACAGCCAUCUUCUUCCCGCGGUUCAGGACCCGCCGCUGCUGAGGCAUGGAGGAGAGUGAGCUCGUGGGGAUCGCAGGUGGAUCUCGCUGAGGAGUUUAGAGAGGGACUUUCCCUUUCGCGCUCUUCGGCGACAGACGAGAGUGAACUUCAGGAGGAAGAUGUGUUGUCAUUAACACUUUCUGACACUGAAGUUAGUGCUCUGCUUGGUUCUGCCCUGGAAGAGCAGGAGAUGUCUGAGGGUGAAGAAGCUGAGGCUGAGCCUUCUCAAUCCUCCUGCCCUGCGUAUGUGGAGCUGUUAGAGGUUAUGGAUCGUGCCAUGGCAAAGUUGGGCUUGCCAUGGAUGCGUGCCAGCAAAAUGACGCCACGUGGUCGCCUCGACGAGGGUUUUUUGUUUGACCAUAGCCCUCCAGCCCAGGUGAGCCUUCCAUUUUUGCCUGAUUUACAUACAGAAGUCGAAAAAGAAUGGAAGAGGCCGUUUUCUUCUCGCAUCCAUCGGUUUCAGCAUACGAGUUAUGCCAACAUCGAGGGGAUGCGCGAAAACGCCUAUGAGAGGUUGCCCCUUGUAGAAGAGACGCUGGCUAGCUAUAUCUCUGUGGGGGAAACAUCCUCUCUUAAACCUCCCUCUUUGCCAUCUAAGCCCCUACAGGAUAGAUCCCGCUUAAAUGACAGAGCAUACGCAGCAGCAGGUCAGGCUGUGGCUUCGUUGCACACGAUGGCAGUGCCUCAGGCUUAUCAGGCUGAUCUGCUGAAGGACCUGGAUAAAGGCGAGGGCCUUUCAGAUGACCAGGUAGUCAUCUGUGCCGCACCACAGACCUCUCUCUCCGUGCUACCAAGCAGGCCGCCUCCACCAUGGGUAGGUCUAUGGCCGCCAUGGCGGUCAUGGAGAGACAUCUGUGGGUGA
ensembl:lncRNA